GACGUACCACCCAAACGUUAUUCGGAUUCACUGGGCUUACAGAGUCCGUAGGCGGUCGAGAAAGUUGGAUGUGAAAUACCUCAGCUCAACUGAGGAAUUGCGUUCAAAACUACUUGGCUAGAGAGAUACAGAGGUGAGCGGAACUGAUGGUGGAGCGGUGAAAUGCGCAGAUAUCAGGAAGAACACCUAUGGCGAAAGCAGCUCUCUGGGACGGUACUGACGCUGAGACGCGAAAGCGUGGGGAGCGAACAGG
rnacentral:rRNA from 1 species